CAAUUACAGAUUUUGCCUAACACAUGAACACUCUGUGGAAGAGUACAAGGAAGAAUGACAUGUUAUUCUUCUAAAUCAAGGCAAUUUGUGCACACGAGGACCACAGAAAUAUGAAACACCAAAUAUGUCAAGCCAGUGCAGAGUUGGUAGUCAAGACAGAGCACCUUCAAGAAUUCUACCUGCUGAGAACUGACUUGGCACUCAGCUCUUGGAGACACCCUGCAUGGCACUGCUCUCUGACUGAUGCACAGGCUGCAAUACUAUUUCAUGCCAAAGCAAGCACAGACAUCCAUUUAGUGUCCCUUUCUGACUUCACCAGAUAACGGAUGCAGAAACCUGCCUUGUAUCAUUAUUUUUUUUAAUCCAUAACCUCAGUUAUUUUCUGAGGAAACUGUUUUCCAGACUCCCUCACCCCACCCCAGUGUCAAGAAGCUAAUAACAAAAUAUUCAGGAAAAGCCUGCUUGAGACAGGAUGUUUCUUUUUCCCUUGCUCCAACACUGUCUUUCUCCUUAUGCCAAAUAAAACCCCAGUUCUUUCUCUCAUCCCCCACUUAUAUCUGAGCUCCUUCAUACCCAGAUCCUUUUAAAAACUUAAGCAGCUCGAAAGGCAGAAGAGCAUGAAAUGCUGCACACAACACGGUGAAUGACAUAAAUUGUGUAAACUUCUUAAGUCCAUUUGCUAGCCUAAUGUUUGCCUUACAGUAGACAGAGUGGCGUAGUAAGAGAAAGAGGAACUAACAUUGGCCCUCCAGAUGUUGUUGGUCUCCCAUUAGCUUUAACCAGAAUAUCCAAUGGUUAAGGGUGAUGGGAGUUAGCUGCCCUUGAGUUAAGAGACAUGAGCUCGGACCUUGGAGAUCUAGGUUAAAAUCCCCACAGUCACAAAGCUCAUUGGUUGAGUUUGCCCCAGUCCCAUUCUCUCAACCUAAACUAUUUCACAGAACUAUUGUGAGGAUGAAGGAAGGGGUGGGAGGAAGACCAACUUUUGAUUAAAUGGACAGCAGAUACUUACUGUGCUG